CAGUCGCCGCGGUAAUACAGAGGGUGCGAGCGUUAAUCGGAUUUACUGGGCGUAAAGCGUGCGUAGGCGGCUAAUUGAGUCGGAUGUGAAAUCCCUGAGCUUAACUUAGGAAUUGCAUUCGAUACUGGGAAGCUAGAGUAUGGGAGAGGAUGGUAGAAUUCCAGGUGUAGCGGUGAAAUGCGUAGAGAUCUGGAGGAAUACCGAUGGCGAAGGCAGCCAUCUGGCCUAAUACUGACGCUGAGGUACGAAAGCAUGGGGAGCAAACAGGAUUAGAUACCCCGGUAGUCCCUGUCUCUUAUAC
rnacentral:rRNA from 1 species